rnacentral:rRNA from 1 species
UCUACGGGAGGCAGCAGUGGGGAAUAUUGCACAAUGGGGGGAACCCUGAUGCAGCGACGCCGCGUGAGCGAUGAAGGCCUUCGGGUCGUAAAGCUCUGUCCUAUGGGACGAUAAUGACGGUACCAUAGGAGGAAGCCCCGGCUAACUACGUGCCAGCAGCCGCGGUAAUA